rnacentral:rRNA from 1 species
UACAGAGGGGGCAAGCGUUAUUCGGAAUUAUUGGGCGUAAAGCGCGCGUAGGCGGUUACUUAAGUCGGAUGUGAAAGCCCUCGGCUUAACUGAGGAAGUGCACCCGAAACUGAGUAGCUAGAGUACGAAAGAGGGUCGCGGAAUUCCCGGUGUAGAGGUGAAAUUCGUAGAUAUCGGGAGGAACACCGGUGGCGAAGGCGGCGACCUGGGUCGAGACUGACGCUGAGGCGCGAAAGCGUGGGGAGCAAACAGG